rnacentral:rRNA from 1 species
GUGGGGAAUAUUGGACAAUGGGCGCAAGCCUGAUCCAGCCAUACCGCGUGGGUGAAGAAGGCCUUCGGGUUGUAAAGCCCUUUUGUUGGGAAAGAAAAGCAGUCGGUUAAUACCCGAUUGUUCUGACGGUACCCAAAGAAUAAGCACCGGCUAACUUCGUGCCAGCAGCCGCGGUAAUACGAAGGGUGCAAGCGUUACUCGGAAUUACUGGGCGUAAAGCGUGCGUAGGUGGUUGUUUAAGUCUGUCGUGAAAGCCCUGGGCUCAACCUGGGAAUUGCGAUGGAAACUGGGCGACUAGAGUGUGGCAGAGGGUAGUGGAAUUCCUGGUGUAGCAGUGAAAUGCGUAGAGAUCAGGAGGAACAUCCGUGGCGAAGGCGACUGCCUGGGCCAACACUGACACUGAGGCACGAAAGCGUGGGGAGCAAACAGG